ACUGUUGUAUUGUUGUAUGCUAAUAAUAAUAUAUCUUCAAGAGGUAAAUCUUGACCUUACAUUGGCGCCACAGAUUUAUCGGAAGAUAUUUGACAUGUAAAAUUUUUGAGGAAAAAAAAGUAAUUUACACAAUAUUCUUGUCCUAGGCUUUGUGUACUAGUACAGUUUGUUAAGCAUAGUAAACCGAGUGGUAAAGUGCCGUGUAGAGAAUAUAUUCCCUUGAAAUAUUUUACAUCAAAUGAGACUUUUGAGCCAGUAUGUGUUGUGAGUUGUGAUGGAGAUGGUUCAGGUGUCAUUUUGAAACUAGUAGAAGAGAUAAAGUAGUACAAAUACGCUUUCUAAGAACUCAGCAAAACGUGCAUCAAGUUUAUUAAAUUCCGUAACUGAGAAAUCAAGAAAAUGUAGAUUAUCUAUAGUGCCAGAAAAGAAGGUUGAUAUUGGACAAUUCUGAUGUCAUCAAAUAGCAACCUCAUUAGGUACACCUGUUCAACUGCUCGUUAACGCAAAUAUCUAAUCAGCCAGUCACAUGGCAGCAACUCAACGCAUUUAGCCAUGUAGACAAGGUGAAGACGAGCUGCUGGAGUUAAAAGCGAGCAUCAGAUUGAGGAAAGAAGGUGAUUUAAGUGACUUUGAACAUGGCAUGGUUGUUGGUCUGAGUAUUUCACAAACUGAUGAUCUAACAACCAUCUCUAGGGUUUACAGAAAAUGGUCUGAAAAAGAGAAAAUAUCCAGUCUGCAGAAGAGCAUCUCUGAACACACAACAUGUACCACCUUGAAGCAGAUGGACUACAGCAGCAGAAGAAUUAAGUGGCCGGGGAAAAUACCGGCUGCUGUGGUUACCAGAACUUCACCAUAAAAAAUACAG